GACAGAGGAUGCAAGCGUUAUCCGGAAUGAUUGGGCGUAAAGCGUCUGUAGGUGGCUUUUAAGUCCGCCGUCAAAUCCCAGGGCUCAACCCUGGACAGGCGGUGGAAACUACCAAGCUGGAGUACGGUAGGGCAGAGGGAAUUUCCGGUGGAGCGGUGAAAUGCGUAGAGAUCGGAAAGAACACCAACGGCGAAGCACUCUGCUGGCCGACACUGACACUGAGAGACGAAAGCUAGGGGAGCGAAUGGG
rnacentral:rRNA from 1 species